GCGCCUUUAGCUCAAUUGGAUAGAGUGUUAGACUACGAAUCUAAAGGUUACAGGUUCGAGUCCUGUAAGGCGCGCCA
rnacentral:tRNA from 1 species